rnacentral:misc_RNA from 1 species
CAUUCAUGAGGAGAAGGAGAAGAAGUUCAGAUGCCAUUCCAGCUCGAAUUCCUUGAAGCAAUUGUAACAUUGCAGAUGAACUUCUUCUCCUUCUCCUCAUGAAUGAUUCAAAUUCACGGUCUAAUUCGCUUUCUCCUCCAUGGUGUACCUCACCAUCAUCACUGUCCUCUUCUUCUUCAAAACCCAUUCUUCUAUAUCUUCUACGUCGACGAGGAUUUCCCAUCAUGCCAAGCAAGAUUGGUGCCCAAAGGGAGAGUGCACUAUCGGAACUGAAAUCAGAAUCAGGCUCCUGAUUUUCUCUUGUACUACUACUCAUUUCUUCUAUAAAUCCACUUUGACAAAAUGGGCAUUUAAUCUCAGCUUCCAUUAUGGGACUCACCAUCUGAGAGCACAUGUGACACCAAUACCGGGCUGCCAUUGUUUCCUCCAUUCUUUCUCUCUCCCCUCCUCCAGCAACCACCCUUUUCUUGUAAUCUCCAAAAGUGGAUUUGAAUGGCAGAUUUGGUGGAGAAAAAUACGUCUAGAUUUUGUGUCGAGGAGAGAAGAAAAAGCAAGAGAACAGAAUGAA